AUAACUGUUGCUUCGGCGGGUAGGGUCUCCGCGACCCUCCCGGCCUCCCGCCUCCGGGCGGGUCGGCGCCCGCCGGAGGAUAACCAAACUCUGAUUUAACGACGUUUCUUCUGAGUGGUACAAGCAAAUAAUCAAAACUUUUAACAACGGAUCUCUUGGUUCUGGCAUCGAUGAAGAACGCAGCGAAAUGCGAUAAGUAAUGUGAAUUGCAGAAUUCAGUGAAUCAUCGAAUCUUUGAACGCACAUUGCGCCCGCCAGCAUUCUGGCGGGCAUGCCUGUUCGAGCGUCAUUUCAACCCUCAAGCUCUGCUUGGUGUUGGGGCCCUACAGCUGAUGUAGGCCCUCAAAGGUAGUGGCGGACCCUCCCGGAGCCUCCUUUGCGUAGUAACUUUACGUCUCGCACUGGGAUCCGGAGGGACUCUUGCCGUAAAACCCCCCAAUUUUCCAAAGGUUGACCUCGGAUCAGGUAGGAAUACCCGCUG
rnacentral:rRNA from 1 species